CCUACGGGCGGCAGCAGUGAGGAAUAUUGGUCAAUGGUCGGGAGACUGAACCAGCCAAGCCGCGUGAGGGAUGAAGGUACAGAGUAUCGUAAACCUCUUUUGUCAGGGAACAAAGGCGGGGACGCGUCCCCGGAUGAGUGUACCUGAAGAAAAAGCAUCGGCUAACUCCGUGCCAGCAGCCGCGGUAAUACGGAGGAUGCGAGCGUUAUCCGGAUGUAUUGGGUUUAAGGGGUGGGCAGGGGGUCUGUUAAGUCAGCGGUCAAAGCCCGGGGCUCAACCCCGGCCCGCCGUUGAAACUGGCAGGCUCGAGUUGGAGAGAAGUAUGCGGAAUGCGCGGUGUAGCGGUGAAAUGCGUAGAUAUCGCGCAGAACUCCGAUUGCGAAGGCAGCAUGCCGGCUCCACACUGACGCUGAGGCACGAAAGCGUGGGUAUCGAACAGGAUUAGAUACCCCAGUAGUC
rnacentral:rRNA from 1 species